CGGGGUGUGGCGCAGUUGGUUAGCGUGCUUGACUGGGGGUCAAGAGGUCGCGAGUUCGAGUCUCGCCACUCCGACGA
rnacentral:tRNA from 1 species